GCAUUUGUGAAAACUGUGCCUGCGCAGAUGAAAUGUUGUCCAAGCAAGAAUAAGAGCCCGUGCAAGGAAAGAAAUGGGAAGUUCACAUCACCAAAAAUACAUCGAGCCGAGCAACACACUAUUAAAAGCGAUGCAAUCCAUGCACUCCUUAAAUUACCAUUACUUUCAUAUUUCAGCAUCUCCAAAUAGUAUGUAUGCUUGAAAAAGUUACCUGCAACCUGGCUUUUCUUUCUU
rnacentral:misc_RNA from 1 species